rnacentral:rRNA from 1 species
AGUGAACGCUGGCGGUAGGCCUAACACAUGCAAGUCGAACGGCCGCACAGUAAGAGCUUGCUCUUACGGGUGGCGAGUGGCGGACGGGUGAGGCAUACAUCGGAAUCUACUUUUUCGUGGGGGAUAACGUAGGGAAGCUUACGCUAAUACCGCAUACGACCUACGGGUGAAAGCAGGGGAUCUUCGGACUUUGCGCGUUAGUAUGAGACGAUGUCGGAUUAGCUAGUUGGGGGGGUAAAGGCCCACCAAGGCGACGAUCCGUAGCUGAUCUGAGAGGAUGAUCAGCCACACUGGAACUGAGACACGGUCCAGACUCCUACGGGAGGCAGCAGUGGGGAAUAUUGGACAAUGGGCGCAAGCCUGAUCCAGCCAUACCGCGUGGGUGAAGAAGGCCUUCGGGUUGUAAAGCCCUUUUAUUGGGAAAGAAAAGCAGCAGGUUAAUACCCCGCUGUUCUGACGGUACCCAAAGAAUAAGCACCGGCUAACUUCGUG